GUGGUGACGUAUGAUGAUAUCGUAGUUCAUAUGAUUACUAAUGAAAAGAUACUAUGCAAUGUCUUUCGCUCCUAUCUGAUUCACCUA